UAGGGAAUCUUCGGCAAUGGACGAAAGUCUGACCGAGCAACGCCGCGUGAGUGAAGAAGGUUUUCGGAUCGUAAAACUCUGUUGUUAGAGAAGAACAAGGGUGAGAGUAACUGUUCACCCCUUGACGGUAUCUAACCAGAAAAGCCAACGGGCUAACUACGUGCCAG
rnacentral:rRNA from 1 species